UCUCGCUGGGGGUCCCCUCUGUCCUGGGGACCAGGCAACUUCGCUCCUCCUGGCACCCGAAGAGUCAGCUCGCUGCUCACUCCUAGCCUCCCUCUGCUCUCCAACGGCUGCACCCUGUUAUGCAAAACCCCAAGCGCGCGUGUCCCUCACCCCAACCCCAGGGAGGGAGGGGAGGGCGCGUGCUGAGGGGAGGACGCGGGAUCCAGGGACGGCGCCCCGACUCUGCAGAGGAGCUGGGGUGGAGAGCUCGUGGAACACAGGGGCCAAGACUUCACUGAGUGUCGAAUGAAUGAAAUCUAAGUCUCGUGAGGUAUGCUGGCAAAUCCUUACCUUGAGCUGUCCCUGGAUAAAACGGGGAAGCCAGUGACUGUAUGGAGAACAUUUCAGGCCACUUCUGGAGACUCUCAAGAAGCAGCAAACUAAGAUCCCUGCUAACAGCCACAGAAGGGAUCUUGGAAGCAGAUCUCUUUCCUCUGGGUCGAGCCCUCUAAUGAGCCUGCAGCCCUGCUCCGAGCCUUGACUCUGCCUCCAGGAGGACCUCCAGUCACAGUCACCAGCCACACAGCUCUCAGAUGUCUGUCUGCAGACACUGUGAGGUGUAUGUUGUUGGUAAGUGCCUAAAUUUUGGUGUGACUUGUCACACAGCAAGAACAAGUAUCAAAUACCGGCAUCAAAACUUGUAUUCACCAUCAUGCAAACACCAGUUGCCCCUCUUUGGGAAUUCUGUAUCUUGUUAACAAAUCUUUUCUUUCUGCCUUAAUAAAUGUGCAAUGUAGGUAUUGUAAGAUGUGGAGUCUCCACAGUCAAGAUGUUUGUUUUUAUAACUUAUGGGAAAAGUUUCUAUUACCUUUAUGUUUUUAAUAUUUAAAUCCAAGAACCACCUUG